rnacentral:rRNA from 1 species
CAGGGAAUAUUAGUAAUGGGCGAAAGCCUGAACUAGCAACGCCGCGUGUGCGAAGAAGGCCUUCGGGUUGUAAAGCACUUUUUGAGAGGAUGAGGAAGGACGGUACUCUCAGAAUAAGUCUCGGCUAACUACGUGCCAGCAGCCGCGGUAACACGUAGGAGGCGAACGUUAUCCGGAUUUACUGGGCGUAAAGCGCGUGUAGGUGGUUUGGUAAGUAGGGCGUGGAAGCUCCUGGCUCAACUGGGAGAGGCCGUUCUAAACUGCCGAACUAGAGGAUGGUAGAGGGAGGUGGAAUUCCGGGUGUAGCGGUGGAAUGCGCAGAUAUCCGGAGGAACACCAGUGGCGAAAGCGGCCUCCUGGACCAUUCCUGACACUCAGACGCGAAAGCUAAGGUAGCAAACGG